rnacentral:rRNA from 1 species
AGUGAACGCUGGCGGUAGGCCUAACACAUGCAAGUCGAACGGCAGCACAGUAAGAGCUUGCUCUUACGGGUGGCGAGUGGCGGACGGGUGAGGAAUACAUCGGAAUCUACUUUUUCGUGGGGGAUAACGUAGGGAAACUUACGCUAAUACCGCAUACGACCUACGGGUGAAAGCAGGGGAUCUUCGGACCUUGCGCGAUUGAAUGAGCCGAUGUCGGAUUAGCUAGUUGGCGGGGUAAAGGCCCACCAAGGCGACGAUCCGUAGCUGGUCUGAGCGGAUGGUCAGCCACCCUGGAACUGAGACAGGGUCCAGACUCCUACGGGAGGCAGCAGUGGGGAAUAUUGGACAAUGGGCGCAAGCCUGAUCCAGCCAUACCGCGUGGGUGAAGAAGGCCUUCGGGUUGUAAAGCCCUUUUGUUGGGAAAGAAAAGCAGCAGGUUAAUACCCCGCUGUUCUGACGGUACCCAAAGAAUAAGCACCGGCUAACUUCGUG